rnacentral:misc_RNA from 1 species
GGUAAACAUCACAGUUCAAAACGUGGUGUUACAAUAGGAAUAAUUGUUGGUGUAGUUGUAGCUACUCUUACAAUCUUGGUUUUAUUGGCCUAUCACCGAGUGCAGCAAAAAGAAUUUCUUGGAAGAAGUGGAUUUGUAGGCCAAACUACAGUGGAAGAUGCUAAGGUUGAAAGAUCUACAAGAUCUUCUCUUUUCAAAUUCCAAUCAAAUGUUCACCGCGCACCAACUUCGUUGAGUUUUUCAAAUGAUCACUUGCUUACUUCAAAUUCAAGGUCAUUAUCUGGGCAGACAGAGUUUCCAAAUGAAAUUGUUGAGCAUGAUUUACCUGGGGGUGUGGCGGCCAUCUCAGCGCCUUUCAAUCCUAAUGUGCUAGAGAGUUGUCCCACAACAUCUGGAAGGAAAUCCUCCCCAGGCUCUCCGUUGACUUCCUCACCCCGUUUUGUUGAGCCACGCA